CAAGGGAAGACUCACAAUAAGAGGCAGCAGUAGAGAAUCUUGUGCAAUAAACGAAAGUAUGACACAGAGAGGACACAUUUAAUUGAGCCCGUCAAAUUAAGUGCCAGCCGACGCGGUUAGACUUAAGGGCUGGUCUUUAUAAGUAAAAAGGCGUAAAGGAUGUGUAGGCCAAGAAAUGAUCUAAGAAGGUAAAUGGAAUUUUUCUGGAGCGGUAGAAUGUGAGGAUAGAGAAUAGAACCCCUAAGGUUAAAACUAUUUACCACAAGGUAGGCUGAAACAUGAGAGUGUGGGGAGCAAACAGGAUUAGAGACCCUGGUAGUCCACACUGUGAACUUUGAAGAUGAUGCUUAGCAGACCCGAAAGGUAAAAUCUUCCGCCUGAGUAGUACGAUCGCAAGAUUAAAAUUCAAAAACUUUGGCUGUUCACUAUUUCGAUUAGAGGAGCGUGUAGUUUAAUUCGAUGGUCCGCGUGUUACCUUACCCCAACUUGAAUCUGUGACCGGUAUUGCAUGGCCGUCGUAAGUUCGUGUGUUAAGCUAGAAGGGACCCAACCCGGGCCUUUGCCCGGAGGAAGUCAGGUCUUAUGAUCCGAAUGUUGGGGGAUUUUAUGCGCUACAUUUUCUUAUAUAAUGGGAGACCUGGAAGGUGAGCCUCUAAAGUAAGAGUUCGGAAGGUCGCUGUAAGACGACUGGAAGUUGGAUUUAAUAGUAAUCGGAAAGUAGGGCGUUCCGGUGAAUUGGUACAAGUGUUAGCACAAAUUGCCCGUCACCUUUACCUAGAAUGGUUAUUCGGACGCCUUCGGUGGUUACGAAUGCCUAUCGAGGUA
rnacentral:rRNA from 1 species